GAUGAAGAACGCAGCGAAAUGCGAUAAGUAAUGUGAAUUGCAGAAUUCAGUGAAUCAUCGAAUCUUUGAACGCACAUUGCGCCCGCCAGUAUUCUGGCGGGCAUGCCUGUUCGAGCGUCAUUACAACCCUCAGGCCCCCGGGCCUGGCGUUGGGGAUCGGCGGAAGCCCCCUGUGGGCACACGCCGUCCCUCAAAUACAGUGGCGGUCCCGCCGCAGCUUCCAUUGCGUAGUAGCUAACACCUCGCAACGGGAGAGCGGCGCGGCCAUGCCGUAAAACACCCAACUUCUGAAUGUUGACCUCGAAUCAGGUAGGAAUACCCGCUGAACUUAAGCAUAUCAAUAAGCGGAGGA
rnacentral:misc_RNA from 1 species